rnacentral:rRNA from 1 species
GGGUCAGUAGGUUGGUCGUGCCACCGGUACGUACUGGUCUCACUGAUUCCUCCUUCCUGAAGAAACGUAAUGCCAUUAAUUUGGUGUUGCGGGGAAACAGGACUGUUACUUUGAAAAAAUUAGAGUGUUUAAAGCAAGCUAACGCUUGAAUACAUUAGCAUGGAAUAUUGAAAUAGGACGAUCGAUCCUAUUUUGUUGGUUUCUAGGAUUGACGUA